rnacentral:ncRNA from 2 species
AAUUUAUCAAGAGUGGCUGAGAGACUGGCUCAAUGACGCCCGGCAACCUACAUCCCAUUUGAUGUGUGGUGCUAAUUCCUGCAUUUCGGAAGAAAUGAAAGAUAAAAG